rnacentral:rRNA from 1 species
UGGCCUCGGAUCAGGAGAUC